CUAGUAAUCGCGCAUCAGCCAUGGCGCGGUGAAUACGUUCCCGGGCCUUGUACACACCGCCCGUCAAGCCAUGGGAGCCGGGGGCGCCUGAAGUCCGGGACCGCGAGGACCGGCCUAGGGCGAAACUGGUAACUGGGGCUAAGUCGUAACAAGGUAAC
rnacentral:rRNA from 1 species